UGCAGAAUGGCUUUCAAGACAUUCGAAUAUUCGCAGAUUGUAAUUUGGAGCUUGAGCAGAAGCUGAAAAUUUUGAAUUUUAUGAAGAGAUUCGGAAAAGCUUCUUUAUCGAUUUCAAUGGAAGACUUCUUCAACAUUACAAAGAAAUUUCCCAUCAAGAUGGCCAAUUCUCUGUACUCCAUAUUCUCCAGUCUGUGGAAAUUGAGAAACAUCCAGCAAAAAAACGAAAGAUGCACAGAAAUAUCACUUUUUAAUGCAAUAACACACAA